rnacentral:lncRNA from 1 species
GGGAAGCUAACAUAAGAGUGGAUGCGAAGCUGGCUUUAAAUAGAGGGAACCAUGAGGAGAGUAAAUGUACCUUUCUUGGCUGAUCCCUUUCGUUGUAUGGCGUGCUCGUUUGGGUUGGGCGUCGGCUAAGAGUGCUCGGAGCUUGGAUUAACUCCAGUCGCCAAUCAGUUUGAGUGACAGGUGGUGGUUAUCGUAGGCGAUUGAUUUUGGAAACGUUUCAACUUCAACCCGUAACAGGUAAUCCCUAAGCUUAGAUGGUUUGGAGCUGCGAGGGACUCGGAGAUGGCUACACUACUAUUUUUAUUUCUUUUAAUUGCAAUAAGUAGCCGAUUUUUUCUUUAUAAGUUUUAUCUUAUUAAUAUUAUUGUUUGGUUUUGGGUUGUAAUAAGACCAUUUUAAUUAUUUUUCUGGGAUUAUUUUAUUUUUAAUAACUUUAAUCUGUUUGUUAAUAAAUGGGCUAGACUUAGGAUGUGUUUUCUAAAUGAUAAUUGUUUUCAAAAUAACACCACGCCACGAUUAUUCGAUUUAUCAAAGAUUUCAACUUAAAUAAAUUACAACUCGAUUUAACCAAGUGUGGCAAUGGUUGUGGGCAUGUCCAGGAUUGGAUCCAUUAGAAGAGCUUGGUACUUAAGCAGCCUUCAUGGCUCACCUCCUCUGUUACGAAUUCCUACUUGGUGCCCAGCUCCCAUUCACUUUGUUAGCUUAACAAAAGUCAGUUUUUAAAGCACUAAAACGAAACAUGGGUUUUUAACUUCAAUGUGGCACAUCAGAUUCUGCCAUAACGUCUGGGCCGGGUUUGGGGUGUUACAUUUAGUGGUAUCAGAGCUAGGUUACAAAACUCGGCUGUGGUAUGGGUAGCAAAAAAAUAUUGUUAUUUUUUUCUUUUCUUUUUUCGAAAUUGGGGUUUGAAAAGGGUUUUUCUAAAAUUUUGUUUUGAAAUCUCUCAACAAAACUUGACUUGUUUCUGAAAGAUGUUACUAGACGUGUGGCACACCGAGUCUCCGGCACCAAAUCUGUAAGUUCUCUAACUCUGUUUGCUGUUAUAGAUUGAAGUGCUAUGUUGAGAAACUACUAUAGAUAGUAGCACAAUAUUGGAACUCUCUAGUUAGAGUAAACUGUAACGCUUGAAUUUAGAUUUAGUAUUUAUUUGGUGUGCGUUUUUGAAAUGUAGAAAUUGUUUGCAUGUGAAAUCUAUCCUUUCCGAUGGAUAAAUGUUUUGGGUGUAUGUUAGUAUUAUUAGUAUCAGAGUGCGCAGCGGAAAUGUGGUGGUGUAGUCUGAGAGUGGAAAAUUUCGACGAUGAAAUUUCUUUAAGGGGGUAAAAUUGUAACACCCCGAAUUUGGGCCUAGAAGUAUUGGGCCUUAAGUGCGGGUUCGUAAGGAGGUUGUAUAUAGGUAUUUAAUUGUGCAAUGAAAUAACACAAUUAAAUGUUUGCCUUAGUAGUUAAUGGCUUUGAGAACUGUUGGAGAAAUCUUGGGUUCAAACUUGGGCUUUAGCAAAAAUUUUGGUAUUAAGUGAAAAAAACCUGGAUGCUUGGAUGAGGGCCUUUCGAAUUAUUGUGGUAAAUAACUGACACAAGGAAGCAUGUAGUCUAGUGGUUGUGGUGUCAUUAAGGUUGUAUGGGAGCCUGGGUUCAAGUCUUGGCUUUUGCAAUUUAUUUUGGUUUUUUAAGGGAACGUGGACUUUGGCCUUUAGACCUUAUAAUUAAUUGGGGAUAAAAUAUGACACAAAAAGCCUUGUGGCUUAGUGGCAAGUAGCGUGUGGAGCAUUUAAGGGGAGGCAAGGGUUCGAAUCCCAUGGCAAGCAAGGAGCAUUUAUUUUGCUAGCAGGGAGCAGCAAGAGUUGGUGUUGAAUUUAAACUCUGAUGUUGGAGGGAUCCCACAUCGGGAAGCUAACAUAAGAGUGGAUGCGAAGCUGGCUUUAAAUAGAGGGAACCAUGAGGAGAGUAAAUGUACCUUUCUUGGCUGAUCCCUUUCGCUGUAUGGCGUGCUCGUUUGGGUUGGGUGUCGGCUAAGAGUGCUCGGAGCUUGGAUUAACUCCAGUCGCCAAUCAGUUUGAGUGACAGGUGGUGGUUAUCGUAGGCGAUUGAUUUUGGAAACGUUUCAACUUCAACCCGUAACAGGUAAUCCCUAAGCUUAGAUGGUUUGGAGCUGCGAGGGACUCGGAGAUGGCUACACUACUAUUUCUGUUUCUUUUAAUUGCAAUAAGUAGCUGAUUUAUUUCUUUAUAAGUUUUAUCUUAUUAAUAUUAUUGUUUGGUUUUGGGUUGUAAUAAGACCAUUUUAAUUAUUUUUCUGGGAUUAUU